CCCAAACCUCAAGGCGUUAGGAAGCAUGAUAUAGCAAAACCUAGCUUAUGUUUCCUAUGAGCGUCAAUGCUGCUCCUGGCUCAGUAUCCAUGGAAACCCGGUCUCCUAUCCUGCUGCAGGAAUUAACUGAAGAUCGCAGCCACUUAUUUGAAGAAUCCCUUUGAUAUCAACUCACAUCAAGGUUUCAGAUGCGGGAGGCUUCGUGCUCAUGGGCUCUUGUCCUGAUGGGAGACUUCAACCAUCCAGAUAUCUCUUGGAAAGACCACACGGAGAGCUGCAAGAGGUGCAGGAGGCUCCUGGAAUAUGUCGAUGAUAACUUUCUGGUCCAGGUAUUGGACAGACCGACCAGAGGUGAAGCAUUGCUGGACCUGCUGCUCAUCAAUGGGGAGGAAAUCAUUAAAGGUGCUAAGGUUGGAGGCAGCCUGGGUUGCAGUGAGCACGCCCUGGUUGAAUUCAUGUCUCGAGGGAUGUGGGCCUGGCAAAGAGCAGUGUCAGGAUCCUAAACUUUGGAAGAGCGAACUUUAAGCUGUCCAAUGGACUGUUGACCAAGAUCCCCUGGGACACUGUCUUAAAAACAAAGAUGUUGAGGAGAGCUGGCUACUCUUCAAGGAUGCCUUCCUGAGAGCACAAGAGCUCUCCAUUCUUCUGAAUAAGAAAGCAGGCAGAGCACGUAGGAAGCUGGUGUGGCUCGGUAAGGAGCUGCUGGGCAGCUGAGGGUGAAGAAAGGUGCGUAGGAAACAAGGAUGUGUCACCUGGGAAGAAUACAGGGAUGCCAUCGGGACUUGCAGACAUGGGAUCAGGAAAGCUAAUGCACAGGUGGAGCUGAACUUGGCGAGGGAUGUGAAAAACAAUAGGAAGACUUUCUACAGGUACAUUGGCCAGAAGAAACAGGUCAAACGAAGUGUGCCUCCUUUGGUAAAUGUAAAAGGAGAGCUGGCUUCAACGAAGAGAAGACUGAGGUACUGAAUGAGUUCUUUGCCUUGGUCUUCACUGGCGGCCAGGACUCCUGUACUCCUCACGCGCCUGAGCUCUGCAUCCCUAAAUCUCCAGGUGGGGACUGGGGUGUUAAAUCCCCCCCCCCACUGUGAGAACAGAGCAGGUCCAAGACCACCUUACGAGAGUGAAUGUGUACAAGUCUAUGGGCCGGAUGGCUGCAUCCCAGGGCUCUGAAGGAGCUGGCUGAGGUGGUUGCCGAGCCGCUUUCUGUCAUAUUUGAAAAGCUGUGGCUGUCAGAUGAGGUCCCAGAUGUCUGGAGGAAGGGUCACAUCACUGCCAUUGACAAGAAAGGGAGCAAGGAGGAACCCGGGAACUACAGGCCGGUGAGUCUCACCUCUGUGCCUGGGAAGAUCAUAGAAUAGAUCCUCCUGGAUGACACGCUAGAUCACAUGAGGAAUGAGCGUGUGAUCUGAGACAGCCAGCUUGGCUUCACCAGGGGAAGGUCAGGCUUGACCAAUCUGGUGGCCUUCUGUGAUGGAGUGACAGCAUUGGUGGACAAGGGAAAGACGACCGAUGUCACUUACCUGAACUUGAGCGAGACCUUUGACAUGGUCCCUCACCACAUCCUUAUCUCCAAAUUGGAGGGAUGUGGAUUUGAUGGAUGAACCACUCGAUGAAUAAGAAACUGGUUGAAAGGCCACAGACAGAGGGUGGUCAUCAAUGGCUCUGUGUCCAGGUGGACGCCGGUAAGGAGUGGCAUCCCCCAGGGCUCUGUCUUGGGACCGGUGCUCUUUAACAUCUUCAUCAAUGACAGCGAUGACGGAAUCGAGUGCACCCUCAGCAAUUUGCUGAUGACACCAAGCUGAGUGGAGCAGUCGACACAGUAGAAGGCAGGGAUGCCAUUCACAGGGACCUCGAGAGGCUGGAAAGGUGGGCAGGGUGAACCUGAUGAGGUUCAACACAGCAAAGUGCAGAGUUUUGCACUUGGGCCAGAGGAAUCCCAGGCAUCCGUACAGACUGGAAGGAGCGGUGCUUGAGAGCAGCCCUGUGGAGAAGGACCUGGGGGUCUUGAUAGAUGAAAAGCUUAACAUGAGCCAGCAGUGUGCCCUUGCAACUCGGAAGGCAAAUGGUGUCCUGGGCUCCAUCAGCAGAGGGGUGGCCAGCAGGGACAGGGAGGUGAUUGUCCCCCUCUACUCUGCUCUUGUGAGGCCCCAUCUGCAGUACUGUGUCCAGGUCUGGAGCCCCCAGUACAAGAAAGACAGGGAGCUGUUGGAGGGGGUGCAGAGGAGCCACAAAGAUGAGCAGGGGACUGGAGCACCUCCCCUACAAAGACAGGCUGAGGGAGCUGGGCUUGUUCAGCCUGGAGAAGAGAAGCUGCGGCGUGACCUCAUUGCAGCCUUCAGUACCUAAAAGGGAGCCUACAGACAGGAGAGGAAUCAACUCUUUGAAAGGGCAGAUAACAGCAGGACAAGGGGAAAUGGCUUUAAGUUGAGGAAGGGGAGAUUGAGGUUGGAUGUCAGUGGGAAAUUCUUUACAGAGAGAGUGGUGAGGUGCUGGAACAGCUGCCCAGAGAGGCCAUGGAUGCCCCGUCCCUGGAGGUGCUCAAGGCCAGGCUGGAUGGGGCCCUGGGCAGCCUGGGCUGGCACUAAGUGGGAAGGUUGGCGGCCCUGCAUGUGGCAGGGGGGUGAAGAUUCAUGAUCCUUGAGCUCCCUUCCAACCCUGGCCAUUCUGUGAUACGAUGGACUUUCCCGGCCACCAGGGCACAGUGCUGGUUUGUGGCCAACCUCUUGUCUACCAGGACAUUCAGAUUCUUCUCUGCAGAGCUCCCCUCCAGUAGGUCAUCCCCUACCCUGUACUGAGAUGCAUGCAGUUAUUCCGACACAGAUGCAAGUCUCUACCCUUGCUGUUGUUAAAUCUCAUCAGGUUCCUCCCUGUCCAACUCGUCAACUUGUCAACUUGUGCAGACUUUGUUGGGUGGUAGCACAGCCUUCUGGUGUGUCAACCUCAUCUCCAAGCUUUGUAUAAUCAGCAAACUUGCUGAGUGUGGACAUUGACAAUGAAGAUGUUGAACAAGACUGUCCCUGGCACUGACCCCUGGGAAUACCACUAGUUACAGGCCUCCAACCAGCCUCUGCACCUGUGAUGACAUUAUGCCCAGUCAGCCAGGUCACAAUCCACUGAGUUACUUCUUUAGGGUGGAUGUUUUCUUCUACCACAGAUGUGUACACCGGUGUGCAAUGACUUUGCUCACGUAGUCUACGUUCCUCUUGGUUAUCUGCUUGGUUGCACCUCUGCUAGUUAUUAUCAAUUAGACUCUUCUUUCUCCACUUCCGGUUUUUGCUCUUUUGCUGCAUGGAAAUUUACCAUAAUCCCAGCAUACAUGUUAGCUCACUUUCUGAAAAUAAUCUGAAUUACUUUGGCAGGACUGUAUCUCCUGCUUCACUUCUAGAACAUAGAUUCAAUUAAGCCUGUAGAAGUCAAUUAAGGUCAUGUCUGGUUCUUUUUUUUUUUUCUUCUGUAAGCUGAAUACCGGUAGCUUUUGCAGUGUUCCACUGUGAUGAUGGCAGAAUCUCCAUAGCAACAACACGUUUGCAUUCCUAUAGAGCUUAUAGGCACAAUAUAAUGUCUAUCUGAAAAAGCUUUUUGAUAAAUAUAAUCACAGUUAUGUAGUUUGUGUUCUUAAGGAUGUAUUCUCACUAAGAUAAUAAAAUUGUAACUAAAAAGUUUUGCUUAUUUGCUUCACAUUUUCACUGUUCUAUCUUUAUUGGAGGGUAGAACAACAACAUUUCUUUGAUACUAAGUAAUUGGAAGUUUUUACCUCCUUCCCCUGUAAUUCACUAACACACAAACAUGCGUAAGAGCUGUCUGGAUUGUUUAAACAAACUUUCCCUGAAAUUUUUUUUCUUCUGCAGAACCUCUGAUUAUUUUCUUCAGAUGUAACAUUUCAAGAAAGUCUUCACCCACCAUCCAAGAAAAUAUUUUCAUGAAGUACACACAAGUAAACAAAACAGAUUAGAAAAAAAGCAGCCAAAUGGUGAGGUACAAUUACACGAAAUACAACAAUUCACACACAACAUAUAUACAUUUUAAGACUGGAAUCAGAACAUCAUGGGUACCAUCUUACCCUAAAUUCUACCACUUCUAGCAAGUGGACUAAGAGACUUUAAAAUGAAGCUCCCUUAUUUUUUUCUUUACCAUCAUCUGUCGCAUGAUCCAGUAGAAAGCAGACCUGGUUUCACGUGUCAAAUCCAGGACAGAAGCACAAAGACUUUACACUCAAGUCAUUUCAUUUGUUAGUAACCUUGUUUUCAUUUCUGAUGCCCUACGUGACUAAAUGAUAUCUGUGAUUAGGAAACAACUCCAAUAGUUCCUAGAUAUUUCAAGAACACAGACUAUUUCCCUCUCCAACCAGUAGAAAAGAGCAUGCCAGCUCAGGACAGGCUGAAUUUUGGCUAAGCAUUUCAACUCAAAUCAAACACAGAGACUCAGACAGUUCAUUGUUGCAGUUACUAAGUCCAGACACAAACCAUAGUCCCUCAGCUCAAGAACCCAGGUACUAUCCAAAGCACAAAGUAGAAAGAUGUCAAGAGAACCCUGCUAACUGAACGCAUCUCUUAUUACGUUCACUAUAUAACUGCUUGCCCUGAUUAUCCACUUUACUGGCUAGGACCAACCAUUGAUGCCAACCACUGAAAGUUAUUCCCAUGGUCCUUUUUUCCCCCUCACCUGUUAAUUUCACAUACCCUCUCUGCCCAUUUGUUAGCAACACAGGUGCCUCAGUAAGUUUGCUGAGUUCUUGCUACCUGUUCUGUGGGACUGCAGAUUUAUCACCAAUAUCACACAAAUAUUCUAGCUAUGUAGCACUGACUAAUAAUUCAUGCCUCUGCAGAUGAUAUUCACCACUCUCCAACUCUGCAUAUGUAUAUAAAUCCUUUCAUCCCUCUAUCCCUCCUCCUCCCCCCCAAAGUUAUUUGUAGUUGCAACUGAGGUGGGUCUCAGUUGCACAAGCAAAAAGGCCAUAUAUAUAUAUAUAGUUGUGUUUUCAAUCCAAGUCUUCAUUUAACAGUUAGAAAGUGGAAUCAUUAUUAAAUGGCAACAUAUAAAUGAGGAAACAAACCAGAUUCUUUAAAUUUGCCUUGAUUUGUAUGUAGCAGAAAUAGUAGGAUUUUGUAUUAAUUUUCAUAUCUUCAUUCAACAGCGGAGGGGGAAAGAUAGAAAACUAAGCAUAAGUGAAGGACAUAGAGAAAUUUAAACUAUUUAGGACAGUGCUUUGAGAAACUAACAAAACACUAGCCUUUUAAAGAAAUAUGCUCAAAGCACAGGAAAGAGGAACUUCUGGGGAGUGGGGGGGGGAGAGAGGAGGGCAAGAAAAGAAAAUAUAAAGGGAAAUAUGUAAGCUCAACAGCAAAGAACAAAAGGGCAUACCUGCAAUUAUCUGCAAAUUUUUUCUAAUGACAGAUUUCCAAUGUAAGUUAUACAAAGCAUUUAACUAACAAAAUAAAUUACAAGUGAAAAGUGAGUAAAUCAACUUCAUCCUCUUCCCCUAAAUCAAAUAACUAACUUCGACUCUUUCAAAACAACAUUUACUGAACAAUGCCACCUUAUACUUCUGCUUGAAGCACUACUUGGAAAAAAGACUCCUUUAAAACAUUAGCAAUAUGCAAUAUUCAAAAUUUAGUUUUUGAUGAUGCCUUUUUGCCUUGUCAGCUAUUACAGCCUACAGCAAAUGGAUACAGCUUGAACAGAUGCAAUGCAAGUGUCCUAAAGACUCUUUAAUCCUAUCAGAAGGGCUGUAUUUACAGAUUCGUGACCCUUAUUGCCAGGGAGAAGGACCUGACCAGGAAAGCUGCUUUUAAAAGUAUAAUCAAGUGAAUUAAGAAUUAGUUGGUACCCUCUUGAAUGAAACCACACACAAACACACACAGAACAGUACUCUGGAGAGAAAAGGAAGGAAAACAAGUCCUUUGGAAUGGGAGGGAAAAAAAAAGAACAAAAUAGCAAGAUAUCAAAGAGAUAAUACACAAUGAUCUUCCUUAAAAGAGCCUGGGUAAGAAAGCAGGUAUGACACAAGAUCUUGAUGCUUAGGGUUUUGAUAUUUAAUAGAAUAUUUGUAGAAUCACACAAUGACUUGCGUUGGAAGAGACCAAAAGACCACCUAAUUCCAGCCCUCAUGCCACCACUUUGCAGCAAUUAACCAAACAUUUUGACUCUACAAAAACACUAGAGAAAUAAUUUUAAAAAAACCUUCUAUCAUAAAAACAAAUCAAAACAACAAACCAGUCGUUAAACACCACAAUGAUUUAGAGCAUGAGUAAAAAGAUGACAGGGUCAGGAAGCAGCUUUUCCAAGACGUGUGUUAAUUCCACACUACCCACUGGUCAUCACAUGAAGCAAGCAGCAUCAGAGAGAGAAGACAGGACUAUUUGAAUCAAUUCAGUUUGGCUUGGUGUUUUUUUUUCUCCAACUAUUUUCUGACUUAAUGGCCUGGGAGCACCUCAGCGACUCCAUCGAUUAGCUGGAGCAACCCUGUGGUAAAUGCAAAUCAGAACAGGUAGCUUUUACAGAAGUUAGCUUCUAAAUGAAGUUUCAAUUCUAUUUAACUAAAGACAUGCCCAAUAUUCAUGUGAUAAUAGCAAUACCUUAAUGUCCAUUCAGUUUUCAGACAAGGCCUAGGGAAAAAGAGUAAGCUUGAAAAAUUCUGCAAUGUGUCUUUGACCAAACUCAUAUCCUGCAUAUUUCCCCUUAAAAGUUAGGCGUAGUGUUGGUAGUACGGAGAUUUUACAUUAUCUCUAUGCUAGCACAGAGCCAUUUGCUGCAUGAAAGAUUUAGUCAUGAGAGUCACUUGUACCUCCUUUAACAUCUAUCUACUGUAAAUAUUCCUACAAUCAUUAUUCCUUCUUGCAGUGGCUUGUAAUGUCUCUUGGGGUCUCGACCGCUUCAGAGCAGCCAAAACUUAGCACUGAUCUGAAAGCGCUAUGCUGUUUAGCUCUCUGAUCUCACGGUGGAGAGGUGGAACAGAAACAUACCAAAGCUAUGCUACACGUUUAAUAAUGUUCUCUGUUGCUGUACUAAACGAUUCUCCUUCCUACAGCAACUUCCUGAUAUGUCCUUCACCAGUCUUGAAUCUAAAUUUCUGUGUAUGAUGUAGCAGGUAAGAGAACUCUUCUUUCUCAGAAUCACAAAGAUUGCACGUAGUUUCACUGUACGCCUAUUAAAAUUCCAAUAUAUUUUGGGAUGGAAAUCCCUUGUAUUAAUGCAAUCCUAUAUGGUUAAAAAAUGAAGUCAUUGUUUUUCCUGAAAUAUUUGUGCUGUUAAUUAGCUUGUUGAUUUAAAAUGAAACAAACAUACAAAAAACCUUAACCUCUAUCAGUUUUUCAGAAUGCUACCUCUCUGUUGCCAUGGUCACAAGUUACCAUAGAAACUAUUAGACUCAUCUGUAUUUUUAGAUUAAACUUACUUCUACUUUCACAAAAUAUGGAUUAAAUCGAUGGAAACUACUGAUUCUUACCAGGAAAUACUACAAAAUUCAAGCCACAAAUUAGAGUGACACUGCUGAGGCACACAUACACAAAGAAAUAGUUUAAUUGCAGAGGAAACAAAGAGUUGCAAUCACUACCAUUUACAGAGCUCCUUCAUGAGCUAGAAAACAGUCUGAAUAGACAAUUAAAAGCUCUGAGGACAGUUACUGUCUAAUACUGUUGUAGCCAUAAGCUUUGCUAGAAAAUGUUUAAAUUAAAAAGCCCAGCAAGUUUGAACAGCCUUUUUAGAUAGGAGAUAAGUGCAGCAUUACUUCAUAUUUCUCCGCUAAUGCCCCUCCCUUUUUUUCUUUUUAUUUUUUAAGGUCGAUUUUACUUAUUUAUGCCCUCUCUUUCUAAGCAGGAAUUUCACUGACAUGAUGUUCGACCAGUCACACUCAAGCUAUUUCCAGGCAGGUCUUUGCUCCCUCACUCAGUGAUUUCAUGUUGCAUCGUGCCCUCUGCUGGGCAAACAUAAAUUCACAACCCUGCGAAUCAAAUGCCUUUAGAUCAGCACCGCGCUAAGGGGAAACUUCAUCACGAAAGUGUCAUAGCAGAAACAAGCAUUAUUAUGUAGUCUUUAAUUUGUGCACUUCAAGGAAGGUGACCUUCGCCUGGCUAGAUUCAUCUCAGCUUUUCCAUUUUUUUCUCUGGACUCUCAUUCAAACAAUGCUAGCUUAUACACAGCUCAGUAUACCUGAAGUUAGAUGUGAACUCAGGGUCAAAUAUCAAAAUAAGUUUCGCCUACCUCUGUGAUUCUCAACAUUUGAGAAAUAAUAUGAGCAGGAAAAUCAGAAGUGAUGAGUCAAUCAACUCAGUGAUUUCCCCAGGAGGCAGCCCAUGAAUACAAAAUAAGGUUUGAAGAUCUGUGUUGUUUAAUUUAAGAAAGUCAUCUAAAGAAAUUCAGCUUGCUUUCUUGUUGAUAAGUUUUUUAUCUUAAGUAAUGCUCAGUGACGUAGUUUCUGUGUAAAAACAUUGCCUAAGUUGUAAAAUCUGGAACUAUGUGAAGCAAGCAAUGGCGCAGGUAAUCCAACAGCAACAAAAUACACACAACUGCCGAUUUCUCAAUUUAUUAACUGAAUCCUGCUACUCCUUAACAUUUUAUUGAUCGUAAACUAACUUAAUUUUCUAUUUUAAAUCCUCAUUGCAUAUUUUUGUCAUAGUUCUUCAAGGUAAUCUGCUGCAGUUCUCUGAGUUAUAUCUUCACACAACUGCUUUCCUGACUUUGUAAUUUUCCAGCAGAAUCUUUUCUUUCUCUACUUUACAUCUCCAUUGACAUAGAAUGACUAGCAAUAACUCAAGACUGCAACUAAUGCUAAGGAGAGCAUUCUAGGUGCUGACCUGCAUUCUGAGCAGAAGUUUGCCUUACAACAUUUUGUGCAGCACUGUUUACACUGCUCCUGAAAGCUCUAAGAGUCAGUUGGAAUACUUAGUGAGAGUAAAUAAUGAAAAACAUUUCCUCAAAUGAAUUCUCUCCAACCCCUUUUUGGCAAGGUUCCUCUGAUAUUCCAUACAAUUUUCUCUGGCUUUGACUUUUUUCUCCUCUGCUUGCACUGGGAAUUAAUUUUUGAAAAUUUAGAGUCAAAACUACCCGUACUCUGGUGGAAAAUGUUCUCUGAUAUUCACAGUUAGAAUUACAGUCUAUCACGAGUUGGGUGGGACCCACAAGGACCAUUGAGUAUGUAAGUCCUGGCUCCAUACAGGACCACCCAAACCAACCAACCAAGCAAGCAACCAACCAAACAACCGCAUUACAUCUGAGUGUUGUCCCAGUACUUCUUGAUCUCUAGCAGCUUGGGGCCAUGGUUACUAACUAGCCUGGGGAGCCUGUUCCAUGCCCACCACCCUUUGAUGCACAACUCUUCCCAAAUAUCCAGCCUGACUCUCUCCUGACAAAACUCCACAUUGUUCCCUUGAGUCCCGUCCCCGCCACCAGAGCUCAGAGCUCAGCACUGCCCCUCCACUCCAUAUGAAGAACCAUAGGCCACCAGGAGGCCUCCCCUCAUCCUCCCCUGCUCUGGGCUGAGCAAACAAAAUCUCCUUGUCCGCUCCUUAGACACCUUGCCCUCUAGACCCUAUAUUAUGGUCCAGAGUACAGUUGGCCAUUUUGUCUGCCAGGCCAUGCUGCUGACACAUGUUCAACUUGCUGUCAACCAGAACCCUCAGAUCCCUUAAGACAGGCAGUCAAGUGCACAUGCAGAAGUGAUAAGCUGUGUAAAAAGGUGAUAAUCAGCAAAAUAUUGAAUGAAGAUGGUAAAAUAUUGUUGGAUACUUUGAACAUCCCUUCUAUUUGAAGGAAUUUAUCUUACAGAGGCUAUCAUACUGGCUUUCAUUCACACACGAAUGCUAAUAAUUUGUUAGGGAGUAACCAUUUUGUUCUUACAGUCCCUGACAUAGUUUUCUCUCUAGGAAACUAUAACAUAGAAUUAAGAUAUUCAUACUUUAAGUCUAACUUACCUCUCGUGAAAUGUGCCAGCUGGUUAGUAGAAAUGCUUCAGUGCUCAUUUAUGCAUUUCUGAUGUCCAUUGUCAUGAAUAUAGAUACCACAGUUCUGAUACAUUGUGAGUCAAAAAUCUUCAUUACCUCUUGCAAAUUAUAAGCAAACAAGAUAAGCUACACACAAGUGCUUCUUACUCUCAAUUUCAGAAUAUUUUUCAGUGCAUUUUAAACACAUAACUGUGUGCCAAUGAGGCAUUUCCAUCAAAGCUUCAAGAGAAAUAUCUCCCACCCUCAACAGUGUAAGCAUGCUUGAGGCCCAUCUCCUGUAUGACAGAACAACACUUUGUCCAAACUCUGGAUAAUAACCAGAAAACUUAUUUUCUCCUACUGUUACCAAAGCAAUGAAAACUAUAGGAAGUUUGGUUGUUUUUUUUUCUUUGCUUGUUUUUUUUUUUU